rnacentral:rRNA from 1 species
UACAGAGGUCUCAAGCGUUGUUCGGAUUCAUUGGGCGUAAAGGGUGCGUAGGCGGCGCGGUAAGUCGGGGUGUGAAAUCUCGGAGCUUAACUCCGAAACUGCAUUCGAUACUGCCGUGCUUGAGGACUGGAGAGGAGACUGGAAUUUACGGUGUAGCGGUGAAAUGCGUAGAUAUCAGGAGGAACACCGAUGGCGAAGGCAGGUCUCUGGGCCGAUACUGACGCUGAGGAGCGAAAGCGUGGGGAGCGAACAGG